UACAGAGGGUGCGAGCGUUGUCCGGAAUCACUGGGCGUAAAGCGCGCGUAGGUGGCCCCAUAAGUCCGCUGUGAAAGUCAAAGGCUCAACCUUUGAAAGCCGGUGGAUACUGUGGGACUAGAGUACGGAAGAGGCGAGUGGAAUUCCUGGUGUAGCGGUGGAAUGCGCAGAUAUCAGGAGGAACACCAAUAGCGAAGGCAGCUCGCUGGGACGUUACUGACACUGAGGCGCGAAAGCGUGGGGAGCGAACAGG
rnacentral:rRNA from 1 species